rfam:Homo sapiens chromosome 16, GRCh38 reference primary assembly.
GCUGGGCAUGGUGGUGCAUGCCUGUAAUCCCAGCUAUUUGGGAGGCUGAGGCAGGAGAAUUGCUUGAACCCUGGAGGCAGAGGUUGCAGUGAGCCAAGAUCACACCACUGCACUCCAGCCUGGGUGACAGAGCAAGACUCUGUCUCAA